ACACAGAGGAACAACAAAAUAUCAGGUUUGCGUUUUAACUGAGUACCCAAAUCAGACUCGACGGACAGUGAAAAGACAGGAACUGACACAAGUGGUAAAAAAGAUCCUGAGGUCGAGGCUGGCAUGGAGGGGAAGGUUGAAGAAGAGUUCCAGGUAGGUGAGAUUUGUGAGGUCUUGGUUGUUCUUGUAGGUGGUAGUGCACGA